rnacentral:rRNA from 1 species
GGUAAUUUACUUGAUGCUUCAGCAAAGCAUGGUGCUUCCUUCACCUGGCAAAGCAUUAUGGCAGGCAUCACUACUCUUAAGCGAGGUUAUAUUUGGCGAGUGGGGGAUGGACAUAACAUCAAUAUUUGGGAAGAUGCCUGGAUCCCAAAUUGUGCCUCCAGGAAGAUUAUGACACCUAAGGAGGGGCAUUUGUUAUCAAAAGUCGUAGAUUUAAUUGACCCAGUCUCCAAUAAUUGGGAUGAGGACCUGAUUAGACAAACUAUGUGGACCGUUGAUGUACAACGAAUUCUUUCAAUCCCAAUUUCACAACAUAAUAUGAUGGACUUUAUUGCCUGGAGUUAUACGAAAAAUGCUAUGUUUUCGGUACGGUCUGCUUAUUCAGUGGAGUGGAACUAUCAAUAUGGGAGCAAGCUAAAAUAUUCCAAUGGGAUGGGACGGAGCACACCUAAUCCUAUAUGGUGUCAGAUAUGGAAGUUGUCUUGUCCGGCUAAAGUCAAAAAAAAAUUAUGGCGGACACUACAUGGCACUCUCCCAUGCCGGGAAACACUCACUAAUAGACAUAUGAAGGUCUCGCCCUCUUGCCCUACCUGCUCUCAGGGUGUAGAAGAUACGAAGCACUUGCUCUUUCUAUGUAGAAAAGCGAAGGAGGUUUGGAAAAGGCUAGGGUUGGAUAUGAUUAUU